CGAGAAAACACUCCCAACAAGAUUGCUUGCUCAAAAAUCGAAGAGGCACCGCCCUCCGAAUCUUGAGAGCCAGACUCCUAACAGGAUUACUUUCUCAAAAAUCGAAGAGACACUGCUCUCCGAAUCUUAAGAGUCAGACUCCCAACAAGAUUGCUUUCUCAAAAAUUAAAGAGGCACCGCUCUCCGAAUCUCGAGAGCCAGACUCCCAACAGGAUUACGUGCUC
rnacentral:lncRNA from 1 species